CACACCGCCCGUCACACCAUGGAAGCUAGUUGUACCGGAAAGUCGGUGACUCAACCCGCAAGGGGGAUAGCCGCCCAUGGUAUGGCUGGUGACUGGGGUGAAGUCGUAAACAAGGUACC
rnacentral:rRNA from 1 species